AUGAUUCCCUUAGUAACGGCGAGUACAAGCGGGAAAAGCCCAGCACUGAAUCCCCCGGCCGUAUGGUCGACGGGACCUGUAGUGUUUGGGAGUGUCGCUGGUGCGCUGACAAGCUGUCCAAGUCCACGUGACUGGGGCGCCCGUAGUGGGUGCUAGGCCUAUACCGCAGCGAGUCGUGCGCCUUUGAUGCUCUCUGGAGUCGGGUUGCUUGAGAAUGCAGCCCAAAGUGGGAGGUAAACUCCUCCUAAGGCUAAAUACUGGCGCGAGACCGAUAGUAAACAAGUACGGUGACGGAAAGUUGAAAAGCACUUUGAAGAGAGAGUUGGAUAGUACGUGAAACCGUUUACAGGUAAACGGAUAGGACCAGAAUGUCGGCGGCGGGGAAUCAGGCUACUGACGCGCAACCUGCCGGUGCGUGGGACACGUUCGCGUGCCCUCGGGCUGGCGGCGGAGCGCUCGGUGGCUGCACUUUCCCGUUUGCCGAGCGCCACGACCGUCUGUCUGGCAGUCAGAAGGGCUCGGCCAAGGUAGCCUGGUGCCGCAAGGCGCCGGGAACUUAUAGGGUCGGGCACGCUGGCCUGUUGGGUGGACGAGGGACUUUUGCCGCGCGUCGUGGGCUGCGGGUCGCUGGCUGGCGUUCGACUGCUGAGGACUGCUUGCAGUGCUUGGCGACUGCGUCGGCUAGGCGGGCCUGCGGUCUGCGUGCGUUGUUGGGUCAGUGGCGUUUAGCUGGCACCCUAUCCGACCCGUCUUGAAACACGGACCAAGGAGUCUAACAUGCGCGCAAGUCAAAGGGUCUAACGAAACCCCAGGGCGAAAUGAAAGUGAACGUAGGUGUGAUCCCGGUCGUACACGGCUGGGCGCAGCACCGCCCCGUCGCGAGGCCUUUUUGUGUCUGCGGCGA
rnacentral:rRNA from 1 species